rnacentral:rRNA from 1 species
CGGUAAAACCAGCACCUCAAGUGGUCAGGAGGAUUAUUGGGCCUAAAGCAUCCGUAGCCGGCUCUGUUAGUUUUCGGUUAAAUCUAUGUGCUCAACGCAUGGGCUGCCGAAAAUACUGCAGAGCUAGGGAGUGGGAGAGGUAGACGGUACUCGGUAGGAAGGGGUAAAAUCCUUUGAUCUAUUGAUGACCACCUGUGGCGAAGGCGGUCUACCAGAACACGUUCGACGGUGAGGGAUGAACGCUGGGGGAGCAAACCGGAUUAGAUACCCGGGUAGUCCCAGCUGUAAACGAUGCAGACUCGAUGAUGCAUUGGCUUAUCGCCAAUGCAGUGUCGCAGGGAAGCCGUUAAGUCUGCCGCCUGGGAAGUACGUACGCAAGUAUGAAACUUAAAGGAAUUGGCGGGGGAGCACCACAAGGGGUGAAGCCUGCGGUUCAAUUGGAGUCAACGCCAGAAAUCUUACCCGGAGAGACAGCAGAAUGAAGGUCAAGCUGAAGACUUUACCAGACAAGCUGAGAGGUGGUGCAUGGCCGUCGCCAGCUCGUGCUGUGAGAUGUCCUGUUAAGUCAGGUAACGAGCGAGAUCCCUGCCACUAGUUGCUAUCAUUAUUCUCAGGAAUAGUGGAGCGAAUUAGUGGGACUGCCGUUGUUAAAACGGAGGAAGGAGGGGGCUACGGCAGGUCAGUAUGCCCCGAAACUCUGGGGCCACACGCGGGCUGCAAUGGUAGUGACAAUGAGUUCCAAACUCGAAAGAGAGUGGCAAUCUCUAAACGCUACCACAGUUAUGACUGAGGGCUGUAACUCGCCCUCACGAAUAUGGAAUCCCUAGUAACCGCGUGUCAUUACCGCGCGGUGAAUACGUCCCUGCUCC